AGUGAACGCUGGCGGUAGGCCUAACACAUGCAAGUCGAACGGCAGCACAGUAAGAGCUUGCUCUUACGGGUGGCGAGUGGCGGACGGGUGAGGAAUACAUCGGAAUCUACUUUUUCGUGGGGGAUAACGUAGGGAAACUUACGCUAAUACCGCAUACGACCUACGGGUGAAAGCAGGGGAUCUUCGGACCUUGCGCGAUUGAAUGAGCCGAUGUCGGAUUAGCUAGUUGGCGGGGUAAAGGCCCACCAAGGCGACGAUCCGUAGCUGGUCUGAGAGGAUGAUCAGCCACACUGGAACUGAGACACGGUCCAGACUCCUACGGGAGGCAGCAGUGGGGAAUAUUGGACAAUGGGCGCAAGCCUGAUCCAGCCAUACCGCGUGGGUGAAGAAGGCCUUCGGGUUGUAAAGCCCUUUUGUUGGGAAAGAAGAGCAGCAGGUUAAUACCCCGCUGUUCUGACGGUACCAAAGAAUAAGCACCGGCUAACUUCGUG
rnacentral:rRNA from 1 species